rnacentral:rRNA from 1 species
UACGUAGGGUCCGAGCGUUGUCCGGAAUUACUGGGCGUAAAGAGCUCGUAGGUGGUUUGUCGCGUUGUUCGUGAAAACUCACAGCUUAACUGUGGGCGUGCGGGCGAUACGGGCAGACUUGAGUACUGCAGGGGAGACUGGAAUUCCUGGUGUAGCGGUGAAAUGCGCAGAUAUCAGGAAGAACACCCGUGGCUAAGGCGGCUCUCUAGUACGGUACUGACGCUGAGACGCGAAAGCGUGGGGAGCGAACAGG